rnacentral:rRNA from 2 species
GGGCCGUCGAAGACUACGACGUUGAUAGGUUGGGUGUGUAAGCGCUGUGAGGCGUUGAGCUAACCAAUACUAAUUGCCCGUGAGGCUUGACCAU